CUUCUGCACUACCUCAAAGAGCCACAGAAGGCAAAAAGAAGUCUUACAGAUGAUUACAGGGGCAAGAACAGAUGUAUCCUUGUUGAGCAUGAACACAAAGAGCAGGAAAUGGCAAAGAAUUCAUCAAACCGUCACAAUAGGCAGCAGUAAGCCUGUUCUCGUGUCAAAUUCUACUGCUGAUGCCCAGGAUGUGCUUGAAAACACAGGCAGGCUUUCUUCAUGCAUCAGCAGUGUCAGCAGAGAAAUUAAUAUUUGGGAAAUCACAGCCCUUGAUUCAAG
rnacentral:lncRNA from 13 species